rnacentral:piRNA from 1 species
GCAAGGGUGUUACCUAAGUGCAUGGAC